rnacentral:lncRNA from 10 species
CAAUAAAAGCCUUACCUUAAGGCUUGUUUAUUAACAUAUAAAGUUGUGGAAAUUGGCUUUAUUGGUUACAAACAACACAUACUUUCAACAUUUGGAAAAAAAUGCUAUUUGUUUAGCAUUUUGGUUUGUAAAGACAGAACUUUUAUUUAUUUAUUUAUUUUGAGACGGAGUCUUGCUCUGUUGCCCAGGCUGGAGUGCAAUGGUGUGAUCUCUGCUCACUGCAACCUCUGCCUCCUGGGUUCAAGCAAUUCUCCUGCCUCAGCCUCCUGAGUAGCUGAGAUUACAGGCAUGUGCCACCACGCCCAGCUAAUUUUUUGUAUUUUUAGUAGAGAUGGGGUUUCACCAUGUUGGCCGGGCUAGUCUCAAGCUCCUAACUUCGUGAUCUGCCCGCCUUGGCCUCCCAAAGUGCUGAGAUUGCAGGCAUGAGCUACUGCACCCAGCAUAAAGACUUAACUUUUAAAUGUAUACCUUUAAGAUUUUCUUGUAGAAAGAUCCUUACAUAAGUUUUCUAAAGCUAGAGCCUUUCUUAGUCUGCUUUCCUAACCAAGUGUGAGUGUAACAAACUUUUCACCCAAGGAUGAGUUACCUGUCUCAUGUAGAUGGACUAUGAGCAAUGUAGGCCAUUGCUUCAUUAUGUGAGAUAGAAUAUGUUCAGUUAUUUAUUUACAGAAUCUAUGAGUGCUUGCCUAUCAUUGAAUAUGUGCAACAAAUCCAUAGGGUGAAUGCUAUGAAGCUAUUUCCGUCAAGGGAAAGCUAUUCACCAAAUAGAGAAAUCACAGCUAUCAUGUUUAAAGGUACUCUAUGAAAAAGGGUUUUAGGCCAGGCACAGUGGCUCACACCUGUAAUCCCAGCACUUGGGAAGCCCAGGCGGGCGGAUCACUUGAGGUCAGGAAUUUGAGACUAGCCUCACUAACAUGGUGAAACCCCCAUCUACACUAAAAAUACAAAAA